UACGAAGGGUGCAAGCGUUAAUCGGAAUUACUGGGCGUAAAGCGCGCGUAGGUGGUUCAGCAAGUUGGAUGUGAAAGCCCUGGGCUCAACCUGGGAACUGCAUCCAAAACUACUGAGCUAGAGUACGGUAGAGGGUAGUGGAAUUUCCUGUGUAGCGGUGAAAUGCGUAGAUAUAGGAAGGAACACCGGUGGCGAAGGCGGCUACCUGGACGGGUACUGACGCUGAGGCGCGAGAGCUGGGGGGUAGCAAACAGGAUUAGAUACCCUGGUAGU
rnacentral:rRNA from 1 species